CAAGUACUCCCUCCGUUCCGAAUUACUUGUCUUAGAUUUGUCUAGAUACGGAGGUAUCUAGCACUAAAAUGAGUCUAGAUACAUCCGUAUCUAGACAAAUCCAAGACAAGUAAUUCGGAACGGAGGGAGUACGAG
rnacentral:pre_miRNA from 1 species